rnacentral:rRNA from 1 species
CGGUGUUCAACUGGCGUGUCCGCGGGACGUCCUGCCGGUGGGCUUAGCCCGCAAGGGCGGCCCAACUUCAAAUCCCAUCGCGGUGCUCUUCACUGAGUGUCGAGGUGGGCCGGCACGUUUACUUUGAACAAAUUAGAGUGCUUAAAGCAGGCUAAAACUUCGCCUGAAUACUGUGUGCAUGGAAUAAUGGAAUAGGACCUCGGUUCUAUUUUGUUGGUUUUCGGAACCCCGAGGUAAUGAUUAAUAGGAACGGAUGGGGGCAUUCGUAUUGCGACGUUAGAGGUGAAAUUCUUGGAUCGUCGCAAGACGGACAGAAGCGAAAGCAUUUGCCAAGAACGCUUUCAUUGAUCAAGAACGAAAGUUAGAGGUUCGAAGGCGAUCAGAUACCGCCCUAGUUCUAACCAUAAACGAUGCCAGCUAGCGAUCCGUCGACGUUCCUCCGAUGACUCGACGGGCAGCUUCCGGGAAACCAAAGCUUUUGGGUUCCGGGGGAAGUAUGGUUGCAAAGCUGAAACUUAAAGGAAUUGACGGAAGGGCACCACCAGGAGUGGAGCCUGCGGCUUAAUUUGACUCAACACGGGAAACCUCACCAGGCCCGGACACCGGAAGGAUUGACAGAUUGAGAGCUCUUUCUUGAUUCGGUGGGUGGUGGUGCAUGGCCGUUCUUAGUUGGUGGAGCGAUUUGUCUGGUUAAUUCCGAUAACGAACGAGACUCUAGCCUGCUAACUAGGCGUAUUUUCGACAUCUCAAAGGUCCGUCGUCCCGGCCCUCGGGUCGUGGGCGUGCGCGAUUUUUACUGUCGGCGUACUAUCAAUUCUUCUUAGAGGGACAGGUGGCUUCUAGCCGCACGAGAUUGAGCAAUAACAGGUCUGUGAUG